UACGGGGGGGGCAAGCGUUGUUCGGAAUUACUGGGCGUAAAGGGCUCGUAGGCGGCCAACUAAGUCAGACGUGAAAUCCCUCGGCUUAACCGGGGAACUGCGUCUGAUACUGGAUGGCUUGAGUAUGGGAGAGGGAUGCGGAAUUCCAGGUGUAGCGGUGAAAUGCGUAGAUAUCUGGAGGAACACCGGUGGCGAAGGCGGCAUCCUGGACCGCAACUGACGCUGAGACACGAAAGCGUGGGUAGCAAACAGG
rnacentral:rRNA from 1 species